rnacentral:rRNA from 1 species
UACAGAGGGUGCGAGCGUUGUCCGGAAUCACUGGGCGUAAAGGGCGCGUAGGUGGCUUGGUAAGCGUGUGGUGAAAGUCCGGGGCUUAACCCCGGAUCUGCCGUGCGAACUGCUGAGCUGGAGCACUGUAGAGGCAGGUGGAAUUUCGGGUGUAGCGGUGGAAUGCGUAGAUAUCCGAAAGAACACCAGUGGCGAAGGCGGCCUGCUGGGCAGUUGCUGACACUGAGGCGCGACAGCGUGGGGAGCAAACAGG